rnacentral:tRNA from 1 species
GUGGGUAUACCUCAAGUGGUAGAGUGCAUGCUUAGCAUGCAUGAGGUCAUGGGCUCAAUCCCCGGUACCUCCU